AUUGAACGCUGGCGGCAUGCCUUACACAUGCAAGUCGAACGGUAACAGGUCUUCGGAUGCUGACGAGUGGCGAACGGGUGAGUAAUACAUCGGAACGUGCCUAGUAGUGGGGGAUAACUACUCGAAAGAGUGGCUAAUACCGCAUGAGAUCUACGGAUGAAAGCAGGGGAUCGCAAGACCUUGUGCUACUAGAGCGGCCGAUGGCAGAUAAGGUAGUUGGUGGGAUAAAAGCUUACCAAGCCGACGAUCUGUAGCUGGUCUGAGAGGACGAUCAGCCACACUGGGACUGAGACACGGCCCAGACUCCUACGGGAGGCAGCAGUGGGGAAUUUUGGACAAUGGGCGCAAGCCUGAUCCAGCAAUGCCGCGUGCAGGAUGAAGGCCUUCGGGUUGUGAACUGCUUUUGUACGGAACGAAAAGCCCCGGGUUAAUACCCUGGGGUCAUGACGGUACCGUAAGAAUAAGCACCGGCUAACUAUGUGCCAGCCGCCGCGGUAA
rnacentral:rRNA from 1 species